CCUACGGUGGGCAGCAGUGGGGCAUAUUGGGCAAUGGGCGCAAGCCUGACCCAGCAACGCCGCGUGCAGGAAGAAGGCUUUCGGGUUGUAAACUUCUUUUGUCAGGGACGAGUAGAAGACGGUACCUGCCGAAUCAGCCACGGCUAACUACGUGCCAGCAGCCGCGGUAAUACGUAGGUGGCAAGCGUUGUCCGGAUUUACUGGGUGUCAAGGGCGUGUAGCCGGGUUGACAAGUCAGAUGUGAAAUCCUGCGGCUUAACCGAAGAACUGCAUUUGAAACUGUUGAUCGUGAGUACUGGAGAGGCAGACGGAAUUCGUAGUGUAGCGGUGAAAUGCGUAGAUAUUAGGAGGAACACCAGUGGCGAAGGCGGUCUGCUGGACAGCAACUGACGGUGAGGCGCGAAAGCGUGGGGAGCAAACAGGAUGAGAUACCCUGGUAGUC
rnacentral:rRNA from 1 species